GCUGGGAAGCACAAGAAGCUGAGAGAAGACACAGCCAGGACAGCUAACCCAACUGGCUAAAGGGAUAUUCCAUACCACAGAAUGUCGUGCCCAGUAUAUAAACUGGGAGAAGUUGGUUGGGAGGAGCCAAUCACUGCUUGGGAACUGGCUGGACAGCAGUCGGCAGGUGUAGGAACUCCUUUUUUACCAGAAGCAUUUUGGUCAGAACUACAAAGGAGCUGCAGACAGAAGCCAUGAACAGAUGUCCUCUUCAGGACCCUGCUGUGAGUUGGAAGAGGUUACUACUCUCAGCUGCUCAGCACCAUUCCCUGCUCUCCUCAUUAAGGAUCACCCCCACUGAUGUGCUCAUUGAACAGUUUGUAUGAACACUUCCUACAUGGCACAGCUUCAGGCUCAGCCCGUUAUCAUGGUACAGACCAAUGAUGAGCAAAACAAAUGGAGUUGAUUUUACUUUUAAAAAAUAAGGGAACUCCUACACAAGUUGUUUUGUGAGUAGAUGGAGAGGGCAGCAGCCUUUGGCAGGGGAGGUACAGUGAGUAGCUAAAGACUGUAACUUACUCUGGUGAGGUGGCUGGAUUUGGAGAAGUCUGUUCAUCACUCAGAAACCAGCAGUUCCUCCAGUAUGUAAUGCAUGUAGAGUUACCUGGACAUCUGGAGGAAUCUGGCUCCAAGACUAAAAGAGCAUUUGUCCUCAAAGUGGUAGCACAGACAUUGAAAGCUACUAAAGAAUUACAGAAAACAGCUACCCAACCUAUAGUUUAACAAGCAUCAGAAGUAAACUAAAUGACAGUGUAACUUCCCUCCAAAAGACAUGUUCUUGUAGAUUCUUGAACAUCAGCAUCCUCUGAUGACUUUACAACCCCUGGGUGUAUUUUGGCCCAUGAAAUCUGUGGCCAUGAAACUCUGUGCUGGAACCCAACUGCCCUCACCAGACAAGUAAACAAGCAAUUCUCCAUGGCCACGCAAUUCUUUCAGGAAUUAAGAAACUUUCAUAGGGGUUCUCACAUCUUCCUAACCACAACAAACAGUUAGUCAAGUUACCUUUGUUAAGCAAACCAAUUUUCAUUGCUUUCAUUCAAACGGCCUUAAAAUAGAAUUCUUGCCUGCUUUAUUUUGUCAGAUGCAAAGAAAACUGAGAAACUGUAUCCAUUGUUCCUUAAAAGAGCUUAUUAGUGAAACAAAGACCUUUUUUUUCCAGUGAGUGCUGUUUGUGCAGUUACUUCAUGACAUUUAUUUGGAUUCCGUCCCAGGGGAAAAAGGCCAAAUUCAGUUUCAGCAUUUGCCUACUACAGCAUAAACAGUCAUUAGUUAACAGAUCUUUUUUGGCGGUCUCUAUGUAGCCUCCAACAUCAAAGCACGUGAUAUCCAUGAAAUAAUCAAAGCAACAUAUGUACACUGAA